rnacentral:lncRNA from 1 species
UGGGGUGUUCUGGAUAUGAUGAAGAGUGCAUGGAGGUUGUGAGUGAUCGAUAAGGGAUCAAUCACUCAUAAUAAGGGGAGCGAACAUCCUAUGUGAUCUCAUAGGUCGUUGAUUCAGAAGUCUUUGACCAAAGCAGGAUGAUAAUUAGAAAAAAAUUUCUAAUAUAUCAUCUACUGAAUCAACACCUUCAGUUUGAGAUACAUAAUAAUAAGGGAUUGGAUCGGA